rnacentral:pre_miRNA from 1 species
UUAUUACUCCCUCCGUCCGGAAAUACUUGUCAGAGGAAUGGAUGUAUCUAGACGUAUUUUAGUUUUAGAUACAUUUAUUUUUAUGCAUUUCUCCGACGAGUAUUUCCGGACGGAGGGAGUACUAA